CCUACGGGCGGCAGCAGUGGGGAAUAUUGGGCAAUGGGCGCAAGCCUGACCCAGCAACGCCGCGUGAAGGAAGAAGGCCCUCGGGUUGUAAACUUCUUUUAUUCGGGAUGAAAACAAUGACGGUACCGCAUUAGUAAGCCACGGCUAACUACGUGCCAGCAGCCGCGGUAAUACGUAGGUGGCAAGCGUUAUCCGGAUUUACUGGGGUUAAAGGGUGUGUAGGGGGGAGAGUAAGUCAGACGUGAAAUUCCAGGGCUCAACCCUGGAACUACGUUUGAAACUGUUAGUCUAGAGUGAUGGAGAGGUAGGCGGAAUUCCGUGUGUAGCGGUGAAAUGCGUAGAUAUACGGAGGAACACCAGUGGCGAAGGCGGCCUGCUGGACAUUAACUGACGCUGAGGCACGAAAGCGUGGGGAGCAAACAGGAUUAGAUACCCGGGUAGUC
rnacentral:rRNA from 1 species